rnacentral:rRNA from 1 species
UCAAGUGAAGAAGCGCAUACGGUGGAUGCCUUGGCAGUCAGAGGCGAUGAAAGACGUGGUAGCCUGCGAUAAGCUUCGGGGAGUCGGCAAACAGACUUUGAUCCGGAGAUCUCUGAAUGGGGGAACCCACCCAGCAUAAGCUGGGUAUCAUGCACUGAAUACAUAGGUGUAUGAGGCGAACCAGGGGAACUGAAACAUCUAAGUACCCUGAGGAAAAGAAAUCAACCGAGAUUCCCUUAGUAGUGGCGAGCGAACGGGGAUUAGCCCUUAAGCUUCUUUGAUUUUAGCGGAACGCUCUGGAAAGUGCGGCCAUAGUGGGUGAUAGCCCUGUACGCGAAAAGGUCUUAGAAGUGAAAUCGAGUAGGACGGAGCACGAGAAACUUUGUCUGAAUAUGGGGGGACCAUCCUCCAAGGCUAAAUACUACUGACUGACCGAUAGUGAACCAGUACCGUGAGGGAAAGGCGAAAAGAACCCCGGAGAGGGGAGUGAAAUAGAACCUGAAACCGUAUGCGUACAAGCAGUGGGAGCCCACUUUGUUGGGUGACUGCGUACCUUUUGUAUAAUGGGUCAGCGACUUAUAUUCAGUGGCGAGCUUAACCGAAUAGGGGAGGCGUAGCGAAAGCGAGUCUUAAUAGGGCGUUUAGUCGCUGGGUAUAGACCCGAAACCGGGCGAUCUAUCCAUGGGCAGGUUGAAGGUUAGGUAACACUGACUGGAGGACCGAACCGACUCCCGUUGAAAAGGUAGCGGAUGACUUGUGGAUCGGAGUGAAAGGCUAAUCAAGCUCGGAGAUAGCUGGUUCUCCUCGAAAGCUAUUUAGGUAGCGCCUCACGUAUCACUCCAGGGGGUAGAGCACUGUUUCGGCUAGGGGGUCAUCCCGACUUACCAAACCGAUGCAAACUCCGAAUACCUGGAAGUGCCGAGCGUGGGAGACACACGGCGGGUGCUAACGUCCGUCGUGAAAAGGGAAACAACCCAGACCGUCAGCUAAGGUCCCAAAGUUGUGGUUAAGUGGUAAACGAUGUGGGAAGGCUUAGACAGCUAGGAGGUUGGCUUAGAAGCAGCCACCCUUUAAAGAAAGCGUAAUAGCUCACUAGUCGAGUCGGCCUGCGCGGAAGAUGUAACGGGGCUCAAACCACACACCGAAGCUACGGGUGUCACGUAAGUGACGCGGUAGAGGAGCGUUCUGUAAGCCUGUGAAGGUCAAUUGAGAAGUUGGCUGGAGGUAUCAGAAGUGCGAAUGCUGACAUGAGUAACGACAAUGCGAGUGAAAAACUCGCACGCCGAAAGACCAAGGGUUCCUGCGCAACGUUAAUCGACGCAGGGUGAGUCGACCCCUAAGGCGAGGCUGAAAAGCGUAGUCGAUGGGAAACGGGUUAAUAUUCCCGUACUUCUAAUUACUGCGAUGGGGGGACGGAGAAGGCUAGGCCAGCUUGGCGUUGGUUGUCCAAGUUUAAGGUUGUAGGCUGAAUUCUUAGGCAAAUCCGGGAAUUCAAGGCCGAGAGCUGAUGACGAGUUAUCUUUUAGAUGACGAAGUGGUUGAUGCCAUGCUUCCAGGAAAAGCCUCUAAGCUUCAGGUAAUUAGGAAUCGUACCCCAAACCGACACAGGUGGUCGGGUAGAGAAUACCAAGGCGCUUGAGAGAACUCGGGUGAAGGAACUAGGCAAAAUGGCACCGUAACUUCGGGAGAAGGUGCGCCGGUGAGGGUGAAGUAUUUACUACGUAAGCCCAUGCCGGUCGAAGAUACCAGGCCGCUGCGACUGUUUAUUAAAAACACAGCACUCUGCAAACACGAAAGUGGACGUAUAGGGUGUGACGCCUGCCCGGUGCCGGAAGGUUAAUUGAUGGGGUUAGCGCAAGCGAAGCUCUUGAUCGAAGCCCCGGUAAACGGCGGCCGUAACUAUAACGGUCCUAAGGUAGCGAAAUUCCUUGUCGGGUAAGUUCC